UCACGUGGAGUCCUACCAAUUAGACUGGGAUAACUUCGGGAAACCGGAGCUAAUACCGGAUAAUAUUUUGAACCGCAUGGUUCAAAAGUGAAAGACGGUCUUGCUGUCACUUAUAGAUGGAUCCGCGCUGCAUUAGCUAGUUGGUAAGGUAACGGCUUACACACAGGCAACGAUGCAUAGCCGACCUGAGAGGGUGAUCGGCCACACUGGAACUGAGCACACGGUCCAGACUCCCUACGGGAGGCAACGCAGUAGGGACAUCUUCCGCCAAAUGGGCGAAAGCCUGACGAGAGCAACGCCCGCGUGAGUGAUGAAGUGUCUUCGGAUCGUAAAACUUCUGUUAUUAGGGAAGAACAUAUUGUGUAAGUAAACUGUGCACAUCUUGACGGUACCUAAUCAAGAAAAGCCACGGCUAACUACGUGCCAGCAGCCGCGGUAAUACGUAGGUGGCAAGGCGUUAUCCGGAAAUUAUUGGGCGUAAAGGCGCGCGUAGGCGGUUUUUUAAGUCUGAUGUGAAAGCCCACGGCUCAACCGUGGAGGGUCAUUGGAAACUGGAAAACUUGAGUGCAGAAGAGGAAAGUGGAAUUCCAUGUGUAGCGGUGAAAUGCGCAGAGAUAUGGAGGAACACCAGUGGCGAAGGCGACCUUCGGGUCUGUAACUGACGCUGAUGUGCGAAAGCGUGGGGAUAAACUAGGCAUUAGAUUCCCUGGUAGUCCACGCCGUAAACGAUGAGUGCUAAGUGUUAGGGGGUUUCCGCCCCUUAGUGCUGCAGCUAACGCAUUAAGCACUCCGCCUGGGGAGUACGACCGCAAGGUUGAAACUCAAAGGAAUUGACGGGGACCCGCACAAGCGGUGGAGCAUGUGGUUUAAUUCGAAGCAACGCGAAGAACCUUACCAAAUCUUGACAUCCUUUGACAACUCUAGAGAUAGAGCCUUCCCCUUCGGGGGACAAAGUGACAGGUGGUGCAUGGUUGUCGUCAGCUCGUGUCGUGAGAUGUUGGGUUAAGUCCCGCAACGAGCGCAACCCUUAAGCUUAGUUGCCAUCAUUAAGUUGGGCACUCUAAGUUGACUGCCGGUGACAAACCGGAGGAAGGUGGGGAUGACGUCAAAUCAUCAUGCCCCUUAUGAUUUGGGCUACACACGUGCUACAAUGGACAAUACAAAGGGCAGCGAAACCGCGAGGUCAAGCAAAUCCCAUAAAGUUGUUCUCAGUUCGGAUUGUAGUCUGCAACUCGACUACAUGAAGCUGG
rnacentral:rRNA from 1 species